AGCUGGGUUCAGAACGUCGUGAGACAGUUCGGUCCCUAUCCGUCGCAGGCGUAGGAAAUUUGAGAAGACCUGUCCUUAGUACGAGAGGACCGGGAUGGACGUACCUCUGGUGUACCAGUUGUCCUGCCAAGGGCAUGGCUGGGUAGCUAUGUACGGAAUGGAUAAGCGCUGAAAGCAUCUAAGCGCGAAGCCAACUUCAAGAUAAGAUUUCCCACCGCAAGGGUAAGACCCCAGAAAGACUAUCUGGUUGAUAGGUCGAAGGUGUAAGUGCAGCAAUGUAUUUAGCUUAUCGAUACUAAUAGGUCGAGGACUUGACCAAU
rnacentral:rRNA from 1 species